rnacentral:rRNA from 1 species
UCAAAAACAUGUCUUUUUGAUAAUAAUUUAAAGUCUAAUCUGCCCACUGAUAUUAAUUAUUAAAGGGCUGCAGUAUAUUGACUGUACAAAGGUAGCAUAAUCAUUAGUCUUUUAAUUGAAGACUUGUAUGAAAGAUUUGAUGAAAUAUAAACUGUCUCUAAUUUAUAAAUAAAAAUUAAUUUUUUAGUUAAAAAGCUAAAAUAAUAUUAAAAGACGAGAAGACCCUAUAAAGUUUUAUAAUUUAUUUAUUUAAUAUUAAAUAUAUAAUUAAAUAUAAUAAUUAAUAAAAUUAUUUUAUUGGGGUGAUAGAAAAAUUUAAUUAACUUUUUUUAAAAAUAUAAACAUAAAUAAGUGAUUUUAUGAUCCAUUAUUAAUGAUUAAAAGAAAAAAUUACUUUAGGGAUAACAGCGUAAUAUUUUUUUUUAGUACAAAUAAAAAAAAAAGUUUGCGACCUCGAUGUUGGAUUAAGAUAAAAUUUAAAUGCAAAAGUUUAAAAUUUUGAUCUG